rnacentral:rRNA from 1 species
AGUUUGAUCCUGGCUCAGAACGAACGCUGGCGGCAGGCCUAACACAUGCAAGUCGAACGAGUAAGAGCCGUAGCAAUACGGAGUUCUGCUAGUGGCGCACGGGUGAGUAACGCGUGGGAACGUGCCCUUUAGUUUGGGAUAACCACUGGAAACGGUGGCUAAUACCAGAUACGCCCUUCGGGGGAAAGAUUUAUCGCUAAAGGAUCGGCCCGCGUAAGAUUAGGUAGUUGGUGAGGUAACGGCUCACCAAGCCUACGAUCUUUAGCUGGUCUGAGAGGAUGAUCAGCCACACUGGAACUGAGACACGGUCCAGACUCCUACGGGAGGCAGCAGUGGGGAAUAUUGGACAAUGGGCGAAAGCCUGAUCCAGCCAUGCCGCGUGAGUGAUGAAGGCCUUAGGGUUGUAAAGCUCUUUUACCGGGGAAGAUGAUGACGGUACCUGGAGAAUAAGCUCCGGCUAACUUCGUGCCAGCAGCCGCGGUAAUACGAAGGGAGCUAGCGUUGUUCGGAAUCACUGGGCGUAAAGCGCGCGUAGGCGGCGAUGCAAGUCAGAGGUGAAAUGCCGGGGCUCAACCCCGGAACUGCCCUUGAAACUGCAUUGCUAGAGUCUCGGAGGGGAUAGCGGAAUUCCUAAUGUAGAGGUGAAAUUCGUAGAUAUUAGGAGGAACACCUGUGGCGAAGGCGGCUAUCUGGACGAGUACUGACGCUGAGGCGCGAAAGCGUGGGGAUCAAA